rnacentral:lncRNA from 1 species
AUGAUGCAGGUUGCAACACAUGAGGCCACCAAGCAGCUGCCAUUUGAUGGCACGGAGAGCAAGCUACACCCUCCUGCCCCAUCGUCAGCUCAACCACACCUCCAAAAAGGAGAGGAGGCUUGUGGUCCCUGGUGCCUGAAGAGCUUCAGGGGCUCACCAACUCGUGGAGGCUACGACUCAUAUGGAUUUGUUAUGAAGGGAGAGAAAGGAGAGAGGGGCCUGCCUGGGAAGGAUGGCAUUCCAGGGCUGCCAGGUAGGCCGGGGAGGACAGGUCCUCCUGGUCCCCCAGGGCUCAUGGUAUGUAUUUGUUUUAACAAACUCAGUCAAAGUGGCAUUUAAUGGAGCAGUCAGCAUGGCUCUCAAGUCACCCUCUCUCCUGUUUUGCAGGGACUCCCUGGCAUCCAAGGUGAUAUCGUAAGUAUAUUGAAUGCAGCAAAUGUCAUCAAUGCAGCAGGACCCCAAAGCUUUGCUACUUAAGCUUUUCAAAGGCCAGUUGUGCUGAGCAGGACAGGAGGCCCUAAGUGGCACAUUCUACCCUUCUGUCACCAAACAGCUCCAGACCAAGACAAGGAAAAUGUUAGCUCUUUUUUUUUUUUUUCUUUUCUUUUUCUGGGUUCUAUGUCUCCAGGACUCCCACUUCUAGCUGUGAACUGGAGUCAGCCACUCAGAUUUCCUCCUGCUCAGAGAUCUGGCCAAAAACGCAAUACAACACAGGCAUAUUUCUAGCCAAGUAACCCUCAGUGAAUCAGACCUCUGCAGAAAAAAGGCCAAGGACUGUGAACUCUGCCUUCAGUGAUAUACCUGUCCUGCUGCAUAAUCACCAGCAGCAUCAUAGCUCACAGACUUCCUAUAUGAAAAUUGUUUAUGCAACUAUUCAUACCAAUGCUUGGAAAAUAUGUGUAGCCAGAUGAGCCCUUGGCCCUGUGGAUGACACAUACAUGAUUCUCAUCAUUGUUGGGACCAAAACCCACUUCUAGGGAUCUCUUCACAUGACUACUUAAAAACUGAAUGAAGUUUUAUAAGAGGUCGGUCUGUGACUUAAACAUCCCACAACGAUAUCUUGUGGGUGCUUUGUUUUUUAAUGCUGUGUGAUUUAUCUUUAAUUCCAGGGAGCUCCUGGCUAUCCAGGACCAGUGGGGCCAAAAGGAGACCGGGUGAGUUUCAUUCCUGGGAUUCACUGGGAAAAAAAAGAAAAGAAAAAAAAAAAAAGUCUUGCUCUGUUCUCUUAUUUCUAAGCAUUUGCACAGUGACCUGUGAUUUCAUAUUCAUAAUAUAUGAUUAUGAAGUUCUGAACUAUUCAUAACUAGCCCUCCUACACCACUAGUUUUUUGUUUAGGGG